rnacentral:rRNA from 1 species
AAGGGUGCCCUUCGGGGAAUUCCGAGACAGGUGCUGCAUGGCUGUCGUCAGCUCGUGCCGUGAGGUGUGGGUUAAGUCCCGCAACGAGCGCAACCCUAUUGCCAGUUGCUACCAGGUAAUGCUGGGCACUCUGGUGAGACUGCCCCGGUUAACGGGGAGGAAGGUGGGACGACGUCAAGUCAUCAUGGCCCUUACGCCUAGGGCUACACACGUACUACAAUGGCGCAUACAAAGGGCAGCGAUACCGCGAGGUGGAGCCAAUCCCAAAAAGUGCGUCCCAGUCCGGAUUGCAGUCUGCAACUCGACUGCAUGAAGUUGGAAUCGCUAGUAAUUCGAGAUCAGCAUGCUCGGGUGAAUGCGUUCCCGGGCCUC